UUUGGUUAAGUUAGAAAGGGCGCACGGUGGAUGCCUUGACACUAGGAGUCGAUGAAGGACGGGACUAACGCCGAUAUGCUUCGGGGAGCUGUAAGUAAGCUUUGAUCCGAAGAUUUCCGAAUGGGGAAACCCACCAUACGUAAUGGUAUGGUAUCCUUAUCUGAAUACAUAGGGUAAGGAAGACAGACCCAGGGAACUGAAACAUCUAAGUACCUGGAGGAAGAGAAAGCAAAUGCGAUUUCCUGAGUAGCGGCGAGCGAAACGGAACAUAGCCCAAACCAAGAGGCUUGCCUCUUGGGGUUGUAGGACAUUCUAUACGGAGUUACAAAGGAACGAGGUAGACGAAGCGACCUGGAAAGGUCCGUCGUAGAGGGUAACAACCCCGUAGUCGAAACUUCGUUCUCUCUUGAAUGUAUCCUGAGUACGGCGGAACACGUGAAAUUCCGUCGGAAUCUGGGAGGACCAUCUCCCAAGGCUAAAUACUCCCUAGUGAUCGAUAGUGAACCAGUACCGUGAGGGAAAGGUGAAAAGCACCCCGGAAGGGGAGUGAAAGAGAUCCUGAAACCGUGUGCCUACAAAUAGUCAGAGCCCGUUAACGGGUGAUGGCGUGCCUUUUGUAGAAUGAACCGGCGAGUUACGAUCCCGUGCGAGGUUAAGCUGAAGAGGCGGAGCCGCAGCGAAAGCGAGUCUGAAUAGGGCGUUUAGUACGUGGUCGUAGACCCGAAACCAGGUGAUCUACCCAUGUCCAGGGUGAAGUUCAGGUAACACUGAAUGGAGGCCCGAACCCACGCACGUUGAAAAGUGCGGGGAUGAGGUGUGGGUAGCGGAGAAAUUCCAAUCGAACCUGGAGAUAGCUGGUUCUCCCCGAAAUAGCUUUAGGGCUAGCCUUAAGUGUAAGAGUCUUGGAGGUAGAGCACUGAUUGGACUAGGGGUCCUCAUCGGAUUACCGAAUUCAGUCAAACUCCGAAUGCCAAUGACUUAUCCUUAGGAGUCAGACUGCGAGUGAUAAGAUCCGUAGUCAAAAGGGAAACAGCCCAGACCGCCAGCUAAGGUCCCAAAGUGUGUAUUAAGUGGAAAAGGAUGUGGAGUUGCUUAGACAACUAGGAUGUUGGCUUAGAAGCAGCCACCAUUUAAAGAGUGCGUAAUAGCUCACUAGUCGAGUGACUCUGCGCCGAAAAUGUACCGGGGCUAAAUACACCACCGAAGCUGCGGAUUGAUACCGAUNNNNNNNNNNNNNNNNNNNNNNNNNNNNNNNNNNNNNNNNNNNNNNNNNNNNNNNNNNNNNNNNNNNNNNNNNNNNNNNNNNNNNNNNNNNNNNNUAAAGGCUGAGCUGUGAUGGGGAAGCUCCUUAUGGAGCGAAGUCUUUGAUUCCCCGCUGCCAAGAAAAGCUUCUAGCGAGAUAAAAGGUGCCUGUACCGCAAACCGACACAGGUAGGCGAGGAGAGAAUCCUAAGGUGUGCGAGAGAACUCUGGUUAAGGAACUCGGCAAAAUGACCCCGUAACUUCGGGAGAAGGGGUGCUUUCUUAACGGAAAGCCGCAGUGAAUAGGCCCAAGCGACUGUUUAGCAAAAACACAGCUCUCUGCGAAGCCGUAAGGCGAAGUAUAGGGGGUGACACCUGCCCGGUGCUGGAAGGUUAAGGAGAGGGGUUAGCGUAAGCGAAGCUCUGAACUGAAGCCCCAGUAAACGGCGGCCGUAACUAUAACGGUCCUAAGGUAGCGAAAUUCCUUGUCGGGUAAGUUCCGACCCGCACGAAAGGUGUAACGAUUUGGGCACUGUCUCAACCAGAGACUCGGUGAAAUUAUAGUACCUGUGAAGAUGCAGGUUACCCGCGACAGGACGGAAAGACCCCGUGGAGCUUUACUGUAGCCUGAUAUUGAAUUUUGGUACAGUUUGUACAGGAUAGGCGGGAGCCAUUGAAACCGGAGCGCUAGCUUCGGUGGAGGCGCUGGUGGGAUACCGCCCUGACUGUAUUGAAAUUCUAACCUACGGGUCUUAUCGACCCGGGAGACAGUGUCAGGUGGGCAGUUUGACUGGGGCGGUCGCCUCCUAAAGUGUAACGGAGGCGCCCAAAGGUUCCCUCAGAAUGGUUGGAAAUCAUUCGUAGAGUGCAAAGGCAUAAGGGAGCUUGACUGCGAGACCUACAAGUCGAGCAGGGACGAAAGUCGGGCUUAGUGAUCCGGUGGUUCCGCAUGGAAGGGCCAUCGCUCAACGGAUAAAAGCUACCCCGGGGAUAACAGGCUUAUCUCCCCCAAGAGUCCACAUCGACGGGGAGGUUUGGCACCUCGAUGUCGGCUCAUCGCAUCCUGGGGCUGUAGUCGGUCCCAAGGGUUGGGCUGUUCGCCCAUUAAAGCGGUACGCGAGCUGGGUUCAGAACGUCGUGAGACAGUUCGGUCCCUAUCCGUCGUGGGCGUAGGAAAUUUGAGAGGAGCUGUCCUUAGUACGAGAGGACCGGGAUGGACGCACCGCUGGUGUACCAGUUGUUCUGCCAAGGGCAUAGCUGGGUAGCUAUGUGCGGAAGGGAUAAGUGCUGAAAGCAUCUAAGCAUGAAGCCCCCCUCAAGAUGAGAUUUCCCAUAGCGUAAGCUAGUAAGAUCCCUGAAAGAUGAUCAGGUUGAUAGGUUCGAGGUGGAAGCAUGGUGACAUGUGGAGCUGACGAAUACUAAUAGAUCGAGGACUUAACCAUAUAA
rnacentral:rRNA from 1 species